UGCUUGUUUUCUUUGUGCCCUUUCGCUUUUCUUUCCUCCCGCAUGUUCACGCCUAAAUCAAAUCAUACUCGGCCCCUUUCUCCUUUCCCGCUCUCCCACGCUGCCAGCCUAUUAAAAAAUGCUUUCGCUUCUUCCCUAACAACUGCCACCUGUUCAAAGGCCUUCCACCUGCCCGUGGCUUCGAUCACGUCCUCACCAGAAAUCUGUUAUGUGUGACCAUCACCUGUUCGACAAAAUUCUUAAAAUGCUCAAAUUCGAGAAGCUCCUACCACAAGGUUUGAUAAAAAAUUUAGUAGCCUCCUAUCUCUCAUUCAAGGUUCCGUGGCAAGUUACACUUGAUGAGAUGAGAUGAUAACUAGAGAAAAAGAGGGGAACGACACUGCACGAGGGACAGAAAGAGAUGAAGAGCGGAAGAUCUAACUGAUUUCUCUGAUUAGAGCACUGCGAUCCAUCUCCAAGAAGGUAGUUCCCAGUCUUUCUUCCACCUUUUUGCCGAUCAGGUAAUGACACUCAACACUCUUUUAAAAAAACAAUAGAAAGAGAGAGAGAUGUUUGGCAAGUCUCCUUACCAUCUGUCCUAAAUGCCUUAUAUAUUUUAUAAUGACAUCUCGUGAAGUUUCAAGGCAAAAGUUUCAACAUGAAUCAAGCAUAUACAAGCGAAGCACAUGGGGACUUGAGAAAAUUUUAGAUGAUCGUACUGCAAAUGAUACAGUGAGUAAGAACCAAUACAAAUUCUUUAAUGAAGAAUAGUUAUGGCAAUUAUCUGAAUGAUUAGCUCCAAGUUCCUAAUUUCAUACAAUUUGAUUGGUGCUUCCUCAGAUUACGUGGUGAUGUAAGAUCACCUAAUAAUUUCUCCAGGGACUUAAUUGAAGACUUGGUUUGAAUAUGCUAUAUAAAUAUGCAUAUGAAUACUUGUCUUUCAACCCGCUUUUCCAUCAUGCAUUUCUUUCUAUUGCUCACACCAUCAUGUUUCUAUUUUAUGAAUCUCUCUCAUCUCUCUCUCUCUCUCUCUCUCUUCUUUUGUUCUUUCUUUUCCCCCCUUUUUGUGCUUAUUGGUCCCUUGAAAACUUCUGCUUGUAAAAAUUAUAUUACUUAUUCGACUCCCUAUAUCUUGUUAAAGUAUCUUGUGAUACUUUUGAUUUGCAUGUUUGUCGAGUCUGCUAAGAAUACUUAGCAGUCACAAUUCUAGAAAGUUUACUCAUACUUUUAAAACUUAUAUACAAGGUCCAUAGUCAUUUACUAUCCAAGUGAACUGCAUAUUCUACCCUUUUUUUUUUAAUUCUUCUUGAUCAUAAAAUCUUUUCUUUAUAUUGCACGCUCGAAAAUUCUAUAUUGAAAAGGAGCACUUAGAGAUGAUAGAGUUUCUUUAAACCUUGAAUGUUGUAUUGAAAACAAUGUUGCUGACUAAUGGCAACUGAUUUUGCGCAUGGAUACUCUGAAGCUGACAUUUGAGGUUGCUUUUGAGGUAGUUGAUGAGGUUCAUGGCUGCUUUCUAUGCUGUAAGUCUCCUCCUAGUGAUAAGUUUGUUGGUGACAAAGGCCAUGCCCUGCAACAGAAGAGGAUAGUUUUAGUGUGCAGUAUGCAACUGUGACUGAAGGUAAAGUUGAGGCUGAAUAUCAGAUUUUGGCCAAGUUAUGCAAUGCUUAACAGAGGGAAGAGAAACGUGAAGGCGAAGAAAUCCAGAACAGGAAAAUGGGCGAGGGGGAAUUGUUUAUCCCUUGUUUUUUGAGCUCAUAUGCUAUUCAAAACUCAUGUUAAAGAAGGCUGAAUAAAGUGAUUUUCCCUAUCUAUUCUAACAAGCCGAGGAGAACAUACUGCAUCUCUAUUUCGCCAGAAAUGCCGGGUUCUCCAAGAAAAAAAGGUCCUCAAAAGCUGCAACAAUCACGCGUAUGAUUAUCAAAGUAUUUUCUAGGAGAGUUACCUCCAUAAUAACGUCGGAUGUUACAUUUUUGAGUUCUUGCAGUUCCAAUUGAUUUUGUAGCUGAGAGAUUUUGUAUGAAUUUGUAUACUCUGUCAUAACUCAAAUGCUUGAGUUCUCUAUUUCGGUGUUUUGCAUCUUAUACAUCAGAUUAGAUUUAGGAUCUCCAUUA